AAGGGACUCAAGCAAUAAGAAUGA
rnacentral:misc_RNA from 1 species